AUUAAAACUCUACAAUAUUACAUAGUAUGUAAAUUAUUUUUCUCCAUUUAGUAAUUCAUAACAGACAUACAUAUUGCGAUCUAUUCUAUUUUGAAGCAGAUGAAAAGUGGAAAAAGUUUCUUAUAAAUUUAAUUAUAUUAUAGAUUCAUAACAAAUGGGAAAUUGGCAAAUGGAGGUUGGAAGAAUGAUGUCAUAUAUAUUAUUUCCUAUUGGAGUUUACUAUUAUUUUAAUCAAACAGAAAAUAUUGAAGAAUGGAUAAA